rnacentral:rRNA from 1 species
GAUGACCGCUAGCGGCAGGCCUAACACAUGCAAGUCGAACGGUAACAUGAGAGCUUGCUCUUGAUGACGAGUGGCGCACGGGUGCGUAACGCGUAUACAAUCUACCUUUUACAGGAGGAUAGCCUUUAGAAAUGAAGAUUAAUACUCCAUAGUAUUAUUGAUUGGCAUCAAUUAAUAAUUAAAGCUUCGGUGGUAAAAGAUGAGUAUGCGUUCUAUUAGCUAGAUGGUGUGGUAACGGCACACCAUGGCUACGAUAGAUAGGGGCCCUGAGAGGGGGGAUCCCCCACACUGGUACUGAGACACGGACCAGACUCCUACGGGAGGCAGCAGUGAGGAAUAUUGGACAAUGGAGGCAACUCUGAUCCAGCCAUGCCGCGUGCAGGAAGACUGCCCUAUGGGUUGUAAACUGCUUUUAUACAGGAAGAAACCGCUCUACGUGUAGAGCUCUGACGGUACUGUAAGAAUAAGGAUCGGCUAACUCCGUGCCAGCAGCCGCGGUAAUACGGAGGAUCCAAGCGUUAUCCGGAAUCAUUGGGUUUAAAGGGUCCGUAGGUGGAUAAUUAAGUCAGAGGUGAAAGUUUGCAGCUCAACUGUAAAAUUGCCUUUGAUACUGGUUAUCUUGAGUUAUUAUGAAGUAGUUAGAAUAUGUAGUGUAGCGGUGAAAUGCAUAGAUAUUACAUAGAAUACCAAUUGCGAAGGCAGAU